UAGGGAAUCUUCGGCAAUGGACGAAAGUCUGACCGAGCAACGCCGCGUGAGUGAAGAAGGUUCUCGGAUCGUAAAACUCUGUUGUUAGAGAAGAACAAGGACGUUAGUAACUGAACGUCCCCUGACGGUAUCUAACCAGAAAGCCACGGCUAACUACGUGCCAGCAGCCGCGGUAAUACGUAGGAGGCAAGCGUUGUCCGGAUUUAUUGGGCGUAAAGCGAGCGCAGGCGGUUUCUUAAGUCUGAUGUGAAAGCCCCCGGCUCAACCGGGGAGGGUCAUUGGAAACUGGGAGACUUGAGUGCAGAAGAGGAGAGUGGAAUUCCAUGUGUAGCGGUGAAAUGCGUAGAUAUAUGGAGGAACACCAGUGGCGAAGGCGGCUCUCUGGUCUGUAACUGACGCUGAGGCUCGAAAGCGUGGGGAGCAAACAGG
rnacentral:rRNA from 1 species